rnacentral:rRNA from 2 species
UGUCGUCAGCUCGUGUUGUGAAAUGUUGGGUUAAGUCCCGCAACGAGCGCAACCCUUAUCCUUUGUUGCCAGCGGUCCGGCCGGGAACUCAAAGGAGACUGCCAGUGAUAAACUGGAGGAAGGUGGGGAUGACGUCAAGUCAUCAUGGCCCUUACGACCAGGGCUACACACGUGCUACAAUGGCGCAUACAAAGAGAAGCGACCUCGCGAGAGCAAGCGGACCUCAUAAAGUGCGUCGUAGUCCGGAUUGGAGUCUGCAACUCGACUCCAUGAAGUCGGAAUCGCUAGUAAUCGUGGAUCAGAAUGCCACGGUGAAUACGUUCCCGGGCCUUGUACACACCGCCCGUCACACCAUGGGAGUGGGUUGCAAAAGAAGUAGGUAGCUUAACCUUCGGGAGGGCGCUUACCACUUUGUGAUUCAUGACUGGGGUGAAGUCGUAACAA